AAGUCGUAACAAGGUUUCCGUAGGUGAACCUGCGGAAGGAUCAUUAGUGAUUUGGCCCUCUGUGGCCGUUGAACUUCAUCCUCACACCUCUGUGAACUGUUGGGACCCGAGAGGGUUUCCACCUUUAUAUAACAAACAAUGUGUAAUGAAUGAUCAUAUCUAAAACAUAACAAAACUUUCAACAACGGAUCUCUUGGCUCUC
rnacentral:misc_RNA from 1 species